AAGGAUCAUUAACUAGUAUUGAAGUCCACGGGGAUCAGGCUUUCCGAAAGGAGGGUGGGGGGAUGUUUGGUUCCCCCUGCUUGGGCAGACUGGAGAGCAUUGUGUAGCCACUUUUGUUGGCUACGUUAUGUUUGGCCUCUGCUGAUCGAGCUUGUCACCUGAAUUCUACUACCCUUGCUUUUUGCGCACCCAUUGUUUCCUCGGUAGGCUUGCCUGCCAGUAGGACCAUUUAAAACCCUUUGUGAUUGCAAUCAGCGUCAGAAACAACGUAAUCGUUACAACUUUCAACAACGGAUCUCUUGGUUCUG
rnacentral:misc_RNA from 1 species